rnacentral:rRNA from 1 species
UACAGAGGUGCCAAGCGUUGUUCGGAUUUACUGGGCGUAAAGGGUGCGUAGGCGGCCAGACAAGUCGGAUGUGAAAUCCCGGAGCUUAACUCCGGAAUGGCAUCCGAAACUGUCUGGCUCGAGGUCUGGAGAGGUGACUGGAAUGCUCGGUGUAGCAGUGAAAUGCGUAGAUAUCGAGUAGAACACCAGAGGCGAAAGCGGGUCACUGGACAGAUUCUGACGCUGAGGCACGAAAGCCAGGGGAG